rnacentral:rRNA from 1 species
AGUCGAACGAAGUAGCAAUACUUAGUGGCAGACGGGUGAGUAACAUGUAGGUAUCUACCCUUUGGCCUGGAAUAACACGAGGAAACUUGUGCUAAUACCGGAUAAGUCUUUACGGAGAAAGCUUUAUGCACCAUUGGAUGAGCCUGCACUUGAUUAGUUUGUUGGUAGGGUAAUGGCCUACCAAGACUGUGAUCAAUAGCUGAUUUGAGAGGAUGAUCAGCCACAUUGGGACUGAGACACGGCCCAAACUCCUACGGGAGGCAGCAGUGGGGAAUCUUGCACAAUGGAGGAAACUCUGAUGCAGCGAUGCCGCGUGAGUGAAGAAGGCCCUUGGGUUGUAAAGCUCUUUCGUCGGGGAAGAAAAUGACUGUACCCGAAUAAGAAGGUCCGGCUAACUUCGUGCCAGCAGCCGCGGUAAUACGAAGGGACCUAGCGUAGUUCGGAAUUACUGGGCUUAAAGAGUUCGUAGGUGGUUGAAAAAGUUGGUGGUGAAAUCCCAGAGCUUAACUCUGGAACUGCCAUCAAAACUUUUCAGCUAGAGUUUGAUAGAGGAAAGCAGAAUUUCUAGUGUAGAGGUGAAAUUCGUAGAUAUUAGAAAGAAUACCAAUUGCGAAGGCAGCUUUCUGGAUCAUUACUGACACUGAGGAACGAAAGCAUGGGUAGCGAAGAGGAUUAGAUACCCUCGUAGUCCAUGCCGUAAACGAUGUGUGUUAGACGUUGGAAAUUUAUUUUCAGUGUCGCGGCGAAAGCGAUAAACACACCGCCUGGGGAGUACGACCGCAAGGUUAAAACUCAAAUGAAU